GAUGAACGCUGGCGGCGUGCCUAAUACAUGCAAGUCGAGCGAACAGACGAGGAGCUUGCUCCUCUGACGUUAGCGGCGGACGGGUGAGUAACACGUGGAUAACCUACCUAUAAGACUGGGAUAACUUCGGGAAACCGGAGCUAGUACCGGAUAAUAUAUUGAACCGCAUGGUUCAAUAGUGAAAGACGGUUUUGCUGUCACUUAUAGAUGGAUCCGCGCCGCAUUAGCUAGUUGGUAAGGUAACGGCUUACCAAGGCAACGAUGCGUAGCCGACCUGAGAGGGUGAUCGGCCAAACUGGAACUGAGACACGGUCCAGACUCCUACGGGAGGCAGCAGUAGGGAAUCUUCCGCAAUGGGCGAAAGCUUGACGGAGCAACGCCGCGUGAGUGAUGAAGGUCUUCGGAUCGUAAAACUCUGUUAUUAGGGAAGAACAAAUGUGUAAGUAACUAUGCACGUCUUGACGGUACCUAAUCAGAAAGCCACGGCUAACUACGUG
rnacentral:rRNA from 1 species